GUAAACAUAGUUUAUAAAAACGCUAGACUGUGAAUCUAGAAUUAGAAGACGCAUUCUUCUUGUUUACC
rnacentral:tRNA from 1 species